GUUCCUGAGAGCAGUCGGGAUUCUCCGAGACCAACAAGGAUCCUUGACAUUCCCUCUCCAACAAGCCACCUCUGCUUUCCUCCUAGCCUUUUGACACAGGGUAAGCCGGGAAAUAUUUCCUUCUUGACUGCGGUUACUCACACAAUAAACAGGAAUACAGGUUAAUAUUUAUUGCCUGUUGAAAGGAGUAAAUCGCGGACUCUGUCUGUACCCUGGGAUUUGCUGGCGUUACGUGUGACCGAUGGAGAUGCUGACCGCCUGGCACAUGGAAGAGCUUCUUUAUAAGGCUGGAGAGAUGUCUCAGCGUCUCGGAGGGUAUCCUGCUCUGCAGAGGGCCUGCAUCCAGUUCCCGGCAUCCACACCGAGUGACCCCAAAUGGUCUGCAGCCCAGCUCCAUG